AUGAACGCUAGCGACAGGCCUAACACAUGCAAGUCGAGGGGCAGCACAAGGAGCAAUCUGAGGUGGCGACCGGCGCACGGGUGAGUAACACGUAUGCAACCUGCCUGUAAGCGGGGAAUAACCCGUUGAAAGACGGACUAAUACCGCAUAAUACUAAAUUACUGCAUGGUAAUUUAUUUAAACAUUUAUGGCUUACAGAUGGGCAUGCGCAUGAUUAGCUAGUUGGAGAGGUAACGGCUCCCCAAGGCAACGAUCAUUUGGGGUUCUGAGAGGAAGGUCCCCCACACUGGUACUGAGACACGGACCAGACUCCUACGGGAGGCAGCAGUGAGGAAUAUUGGUCAAUGGACGAGAGUCUGAACCAGCCAAGUCGCGUGCAGGAAGAAUGUCCCUAUGGAUUGUAAACUGCUUUUGCAGGGGAAUAAAGUGCAUCACGUGUGAUGUUUUGUAUGUACUCUGCGAAUAAGGAUCGGCUAACUCCGUGCCAGCCGCCGC
rnacentral:rRNA from 1 species